AAAAGGCAAGGAGAAAACUGAAAGAUAUGAAUACAGAUAAAAACGUACUUUAAAAUGCAAAAGUUUGUGUUUGUUGCAUGUAAGGUUGAAAACAUGUUUUGUUUGUUUUUAAUUUGACUUUCUUAUACAAACAUUCAAAGUGGUAUUUUAAAAUGAUGAUUCGUUUCUUGUUGUCCUGACAAAUGUGUGUAUGGAUUUUUUUCAAGAUUAAAUACACCAUAUCGAAUUCAUAAUUUUUUCCCAUCAUAAAAAAGAAAAAGAAAAUGAAAAAAAAAAUAUAAGAAUAUAUCAUUAUAUUAAAAAAAAUGAAUGUGUUACUGUUAUAUAACUAGCAGUACCAUUUCUUUUAGUUUUGCUAGUUUGAUUUGAUUUUAUUUUCAAAAAUUGUAUUUGCGUGCAUUCAAAUUUAAAAAAAAAAUAAUAUGAAUUUCAUAAAUUAAUUUAACUCCCCUUCAACAUAAAUACUCAGUUUAUAUUUCUCUUUGUUCUGCCAAAGAAAGCAGCCUAUUAACGAUAGUGAUUAAAUGCUAUACUUACAACUUCUACUUUUCUACAAAAAACUUUGACCUUAUUUCGCUACUAGAUUUGAUUUAUCAUAAAAAUAAAUGAUUCGAUAGAAACAGUUUAUAUGUAUUUGAAAAAAGGGGAGGAAUGAUUUACAAGAAGACAAGAAGGUUCGAGUAUGUUCAAGUAACUGAUAGCCGCAAUGCACUCUAGGAAGAGUCUAAGAGGAAUUUUUUUUUAUUAGAAAUUAUAUUGUUCUGUUUGUUAUUAUUUUAGUUUUGUGUCAGAAUUAAUUAUAUAUAAUAAAUUAAGUCUUUUUUCGGAACGGUGAGCUUUAGCCAUCACUUGGCGUCCGUCGUCGUCGUCCGUCUGGUGUAAACUAUUUCAAACAUCUUUUUCUCUGAAACUACUGAACCAAUUCCAACCAAACUUCAGCUGAAUGAUCCUUAGGGUAUCUAGAAUAAAGUGUGUGUUUUAUUUUCUGUUUCGUCAAAAAACAUGGCCGCCAUGGCUAAAAAUAUAACAUAGGGUAAAAUGCAGUUUUAGGCUUAUAUCUCAAAAACCAAAACAAAAACCAAAACCAAAGCAGUUAGAGCAAAUCUGACAAGGGUUAAAGUGUUGAAAAGAUGAUGUUCUAUCAGCCCUAAAAUUUUCAGAUGAAUUUAAUAACCCGUUGUUGGGUUGCUGCCACCAAGUUGGUAAUUUUAAGGAAAUUUUGCAGUUUUUGGUUGAUAUCUUGAAUAGUAUUAAUGAUAAAGAUAAACUGUAAACAGCAAAUAUGUUCAGUAAAGUAAGAGCUACAAAUAAGUUUAUAUGACCAACAUCAAUUGACUCCUUAAAGAGUUAUUGCCCUUUAAGGACAAUUUUACACAAUUUGUUUAUCAUUUAUUUUUACUUUAAAAAAUCUCUUCCUCUAAAACUACUGAAACAAUUCCAAAAGCUGCAUUUGCAAACACUUAUCAAUAAACAUUUAACCAAAAAAAGAACUACGAUGAAAUUGGACACUUAAACUCUUAAACGAAAGAUAAAUGCCAAAAAAAUCAAAGUGAGCGAUUCAGGCCCUUGAGAGCCUCUUGUUUCUGUGUGAAAUUUUUGUAUAAUAUCAUAAGCCUUAUACUAUAAAAUGUACUAUAUCAAAUUUAAAGCCCAACGAAAAGCAUGGGUUUAGAACUGUGAUAUGUUGGUAGCAAAUCUUUGUUAAUUGCUUAAUGUUUUAUAUUGAAUGUAUCGGUGACCUGCAAUAAAUAUUUGAAAUCAUUACCACAAAUGUUUAUAAGCUGCAGGAUUGACUAUUUAGGUAUUUCAUAUUUCGAAAUUAGUAAACACAAAACACAUGUAUUUUUUGUUGUGCCUUAUUGUGUUUCAUAAAAAUAUUGUUUAAAUCUUAACUCAUUUACAUUUUGCAGUUUAAUUAUUUCAAAUUACUAUUAAUUGUUCAAAC
rnacentral:lncRNA from 1 species